CCAGACUCCUACGGGAGGCAGCAGUGGGGAAUAUUGCACAAUGGGGGGAACCCUGAUGCAGCGAUGCCGCGUGGAGGAAGAAGGUUUUCGGAUUGUAAACUCCUUUUAUCAGGGACGAUAAUGACGGUACCUGAAGAAAAAGCUCCGGCUAACUACGUGCCAGCAGCCGCGGUAAUACGUAGGGAGCGAGCGUUGUCCGGAAUUACUGGGUGUAAAGGGAGCGUAGGCGGGACGGCAAGUCAGAUGUGAAAACUGAGGGCUCAACCCAUAGCCUGCAUUUGAAACUGUACUUCUUGAGUGCUGGAGAGGCAAUCGGAAUUCCGUGUGUAGCGGUGAAAUGCGUAGAUAUACGGAGGAACACCAGUGGCGAAGGCGGAUAACUGGACGGCAACUGACGGUGAGGCGCGAAAGCGUGGGGAGCAAACAGGAUUAGAUACCCUAGUA
rnacentral:rRNA from 1 species